UCUGUUGCUCGGGACGAAUGGCGCCUUUUGGCGACGUGACGGUACCGAGUGAGGAAGCACCGGCUAACUCCGUGCCAGCAGCCGCGGUAAUACGGGGGGUGCAAGCGUUGUCCGGAAUCACUGGGCGUAAAGGGCGCGUAGGUGGCCUGGUAAGUCUGUGGUGAAAGCCCGGAGCUCAACUCCGGGUCUGCCGCGGAUACUGCGAGGCUUGAGUGCUGUAGAGGGGGGUAGAAUGCCGGGUGUAGCGGUGGAAUGCGUAGAGAUCCGGCAGAAGACCGGUGGCGAAGGCGGCCCCCUGGGCAGUAACUGACACUGAGGCGCGACAGCGUGGGGAGCAAACAGGAUUAGAUACCCUGGUAGUCCACGCCGUAAACGAUGGGCACUAGGUGCUUCGGGGAGCGACCCCUGGAGUGCCGUCGCUAACGCAUGAAGUGCCCCGCCUGGGGAGUACGGCCGCAAGGCUGAAACUCAAAGGAAUUGACGGGGGCCCGCACAAGCGGUGGAGCAUGUGGUUUAAUUCGACGCAACGCGAAGAACCUUACCCAGGCUUGACAUGCACGAGAAAGCCCUCAGAAAUGAGGGUCCUCCUUCGGGACUCGUGCACAGGUGCUGCAUGGCUG
rnacentral:rRNA from 1 species